rnacentral:rRNA from 1 species
CCUACGGGAGGCAGCAGUGAGGAAUUUUGCGCAAUGGGCGAAAGCCUGACGCAGCGACGCCGCGUGGAGGAUGACGGCCUUCGGGUUGUAAACUCCUGUCAGAGGUGAAGAAUCCCCGCAAGGGGUUGACGGUAACCUCAAAGGAAGCCCCGGCUAACUACGUGCCAGCAGCCGCGGUAAUACGUAGGGGGCAAACGUUACUCGGAAUUACUGGGCGUAAAGGGUGUGUAGGCGGCUGAGCAAGUCAAAGAUGAAAUCCCGAGGCUCAACUUCGGAAUCG